rnacentral:lncRNA from 1 species
AUUUGCAUUUAACAGUAGUAUUGCUAGCAGGAGACAGGAGUGUCUCCCCUUAAUCCCCAACAUUCACUUGUUCUUUACUUGUUUGGAUCUGUUAUUUUGCCAAGUGUGAAGUUUGUGGCUACCACACAAAUGGAUUCUGCUACCUCUGUAAGACACUAAGACACUAGACCUGUUAUAUUAGGAUUGAUAUGCGUUGUGCAUUCUUACUCUUGGGAAGAGCAAAUGCAAAAUGACUUUGGAGCAAGUUUACCUGUCAUGUUUUAGUUUAAAUAAAAUAAUUAGUCGUUAUUUGUUUUUAUGAAUAACAUAAUUUUGUUCAAUUAAAGUUUGGUUUGUUUAUUAUAAUAUUUUGUUUAUGUAUGUGUUUGUUUAGUAUAAAUAUUAAUCAGAUUCCCAAUUUGUUUUGGAAAAUAUGGUAAAAUAGUGUUCUUAUUUCUGCUGUGUGAUUUCAUUUUCUCCGUAAACUUUUUCUUGCUUAUAUGAGAUUAUAGUAAUAAUUAAGAGAAUAGAGAAGUAGUAACUAUUAUUUUACAUUCUUUUAUAUAUAAUUCAGUUGAAAUGAACUUCAGUUCGAAAAAAACUAAACCUCAUCAACAAAACAAACAGUCUUCAUGGCAGAGAAAUUGGGACCUGAAAAACGACACAGCUUCCUCCACGGCAGUAUGUUCUCAAUCUCUUCCUCCUCUUUAUCUAUCAUCACAUAUAUACACAAGUACCAUCUUUCUUAUAUGUCCAUUUAUUAGGAUUAAAACAGCUCAACUAAAGCUUGUAUUGUUAUGAUUAAAAUUCAGCCAGAAGGUGUUUGAAUGGAUCAAACACUUGAAGAAGUGAAUAUGUGCAUAAUUUUUGCUUCAUUUUGAUGUUUUGUGAUGAUCCUUUUGUUGUUUUUCGCAGCAUGAUUUGUAUUCUCAUGUAAAGACUGGUUCUUUAUUUUGGACUAUAGGUGUGUGUGCUAUGUGUUUAAGUUUUAUGUUAAUUGUUCAGAGCGGAAUUUUUUGAUGUUGGUUUUUGGUUGUUAGUAAUGGAUUUUUGUGAUUGGCAGAGGAUUUUUGUGACAAGGGGCAGGCUUGGCCUUCUCCUAUACAGGGUCAGGGUCAGGGUAAGCUUGAUCCUAUGGCAGGGGAUAUGGAGCACAAGCACCUCAUGCUUCAGAGGUUUCAGGAAGAGGUAAAUUAGCUGUCUGUGUUGUACAUGUCAUUUUAAUGUAGUCUUGAAGACAAGUGUUGUUGUGUGGAAGUGGAACAUCCCUUUGCCACUUAAUAGCAAAGGUUCUGUUAUGAACCUGUGGUACUAGCCACAAACACAAGUUAUUUAAGCAUGUUGGGCCCCCUAAUAAAAAAAAUUACUAGUAUAUUUUUUAAAUUUAUAUGUUAAGUUUGUGUUUAUUUUACUUAGUAUCCUUAAAAUAAUUACAUAACUCUCAAAAAUAGAAUAACAAAUUCCUAACUUCCAUUCAAAUAUCAUAUAAUACAUCAAAUUUUAGUUACUUAAGCGGUUCAAAAAUUUUAUGAUUCAAAAUUGGUGAUAUUUAUAUUUUUGGCCUUAAAAUUUGAUUAAUUUUUAGUCUCUGUAUACAUUUAUUUUAAACCCUUCCUUCGAUAAUACCGUUAUGUUAUAUUAUGCCCCCAGAUUAAUAUGUCUGGAUCCACCACUGCUUUAAUGCGACAUGUAUAUCCUAAGCUAAGUUGUAACUAUUUAGAUAAAAUCCUAAAGCGACAUGGACAAUUAUGUCGUUGCAGAAGUACUUUACUGUAAUUAUGUUGGAUGAUAAUUUGAAAGUUACUUAUUAUUAUAAAUUAUGUGUUGAUCCCUUUUGUAGAAAGCUAUAAGUUGCAGAGAGAAAGGAAGAAGAAAGAGUUUGUUAUGAAAACUGUAUUCUCUUGUGUUACAAACAAGACUGAAGAAAUGGACUUAUAUACAGAACUGUAUCCUCUAACCAACUAAUGUGCUAUGACAUAAUUACCCCUAACUUGUAACUACCUACUAGACUGUGCUUAUUGCUCCCUUUGAAUCUGAAUAAAUAAGUUAUCACGGACAAGGGUCCAUGGACCAUGAUGGUUCACAUGAGAGUUAUUUUCUUUCAUUGUAGUGCAUUGAUUAUCGUCAUAGCAGGACUUCUAGGGAGACUAAUUAUGUAUUAGUGGUAGGCGAUAUCAAACUGGAAUGACAUGUAAGAGCACAGGAAAUGCCCCAAAAUCAGGAUCCCCCUAGAGGAAAAAAGAAGAAGGUCAUCCGUGUAUCUGAUUGGUUCUAGCGACGGAUAACAUAAGGGGUCAGGAUGGAUUAAGCAAUGUCAAACCAAUUUCUUUUCAUCAUGCCAUGACUGAAAUCAUUUACUAGGUACUUUUACCAUUUCAAUGUAGCGAGGGAUAUCUGCUUUCUGACUUCAGUGUAGUGUUGUAAAUAUACCAGCAUAAAUCAUUUACUCCUUUAAGGUUAAGGAAGGUUUCCAGACGAUUUGGGAACAUCAAAAAGACUUUAGCGCAAUUUUAUCUGUCAUGUAUUGGUUUUAUUUAGUGUUGCAUUGUCUAAUAAUAUUAUAUCUUGUGUCUUUGCUGUCAUUUUUAUAAAUUGUUAUCGAUAUUGCUAAAGAAGUAUCUACCAACUGCCAAGACCUGGACCUCGUCUCUUGUUUAUGAAUUACUUUGUAGCCGUGGAGUUCAAUUUAGUUGGCACAGUAGGAGGACCUAACCUAUAUAGUUUUCAUUCUUUGGUGACAGACUCUACUCUUCUGCACCUCUGGUGUAGUAGUACAGUGCAGAUCCUGGGUCCUGUGAAUGAUUCAAUGAUUUAAGAUAGCAUGCCCAACCUUCAACAUCACAACAAAAUGGUGUAGAAAUCUGCAUUUUUGCCCUUCAUAAUUCUGACUCCUACUAAUCAGUAAUCACCAUCAUCGUCUUGCCAGUGGCCAGCCAAAAUUAGUCAUAUUAAUUUAUGCUAUGUUAUGUGUUAUUAUUAAAUGAAACUUAAAAAUGGUAAAAGGGGGAAAAGGAAAAGUAAAUGAAUAAAUGAAGACGAUGAAUAGAAGAAGAAAAAUAAACAAUAACGUGGGUGACCAUUAUCAUUAUGUGUUUGUGUUUGAAUGCCCAGUAAACACCCCCUUACUGGCCACAACUGCUUAGAUAACAAAUCUGAUACCACAUUCACAUUAUCUAGCUGAGUUUUAUGUAAUUUGUUCAUUUGUCAUUGGAGUUAGAAUAAGAUCUCACCGAUAUUCCUCUGAAUAAUAAAAUUUAUUCCUGUAACUAUGUCAGGAAUGUAAAGGAGCAUGAAAUAGAAAGAACAAAUACUACUAUUUCCAAAUGAAGUUUCUGAGUUCAUUCUGAGAUACAGUAGAAAACGUAUGGGUCAAUAUUAGUCUUUUUUCUGGAAUAGAGGAUCGAUCAGUCUCGACACUUUUAAUUUCUAGAAGCAGCUGGAUUCCAAGUCUUGUGAAGUGCUAAAAAAACUUGCAGAAAUUUUACAUAUGAUUAGCUACAGUUUGAGCAUAGGUAGCAUCAAUAAAACCAAUUUUCGACUUAGAUGAUUAUGAAAAAGUUUAGAGAUAGUUGAUCAAGAAUUACAGUAGUAAUAAUUCAUCCCUGGAUUAUCUGGGGGAUGCAAGUUAACGUCCAAGAUUGAACUUGUUGAGGUUGAUCCCGGGGUUGCAGCAGAGUAUGAAAAACUAAUUCUUUCCUAUACUAAACUUGGAAUACACGAUUAAAAAAAGCAAAAAGAAAAGGAAGAAUAAUAAAAAGAAAUGCCGAAUUUGGAAAAGGAAAAGAAAACACGGAAUAGUAAAAGAAAGUAAAUAGAAUAGACCGCACAAAUAGCAAGGAAAAAAAAAGAGAUGCGUGGGCACCAGUGAGAGGGAAAAGAAAAAGAAAAGAGAAGGAAAAUGAACUUGAAACUGAAGGAACAAAGAUCAUUGGCGUCCUUAAAUUGGUGUCCUAGGUGUUAAUCAUCAUUACCAUCAGAUGUCUGCCUCAAUACCCGAAAUGAGUCUAACACUAGAGCAUUUUAGCCACCCAAAACACUCAUUAGUACUUAAAGAUUUUGAUGUUGUUGGAGAUGAUGCUAUAUGCCAUGUUUGCGACACAAGUGUUAUAGGCUCUCUAACAUAUACUUGUAGUCGUAGUAGUGAUGAUGCUGAGUGUCAAGGCUUCUACCUCCACAAGAGUUGUGCAGAAUUACCCACUCCAAUUACUUUCUAUAAGCACAACCACCACCCCUUGAUCCUCCGUGAUCUGGUUGGAGGAUAUUGUGAUGUUUGUUAUAAUCAUGUUAUGAAAUUCUCUUAUGUAUGUUCUGAUGAUUGUGGAUUUGUUGUGUGUGUGUUUUGUGCUUUUCAACAGAGAGCACUUGAUCAUCCAGGUCAUGAGCAGCACACGCUAACAUUGGUGCCCAGGGAAUCGUUAUUUGCUUGUGAUGCUUGUUCCGAAGAAGCUAACGACUCUUCCUAUAUAUGCACCACUUGUGACUUUUGGAUUCACAAAAAAUGUGCUCUUUCGCCUUUAACAAUCCCCAAUCCUACAUACCACCGUCAUCCUCUUGAUCUUAUCUACUUCAUUCCUAAAAUGCAUCGCUAUUUCAAACGAUAUUGCAAUAUAUGUAAGAAACCAAUUCGGAAAGAAUCCUGGCUCUAUUAUUGUCAUAAAUGCACAUAUUUUGUGCAUAUGAAAUGUGCAACAUCCUCACAUUCAUCGCCUUCUGAGUAAGUACUUUGAAUUUAAUCUUGGUUUUUUUCUUUUGCCAUUUUUCAUAAUCUGUUUUUCUAUUGUCAUGAUCUAAUGUCUUGAGUACUGCCAUGGCUUAACUAGUUACGAUUUUUUUCAGAAAUGAGAGUGAAGAAGAGGGCACUCUGAAUGAUGAACCUCAUUUGGUGGAGCUUCCACUGCAUAGUGUGGAAUCACUAUUGGAUCUGAUAAUAUCCCAGUGUUGCAAGCUCCAGUUUCAAUAUGAAGGUAAAAAUGAAAACAGUAUUGCUAUAUUAACAGCUCCUGAUCCUCCCAUAAUUAAUGAACACUGGAGUCGUAAGGAACAUCCAUUAGUGCAGUUCCAGUUUAGUACUAGUGAGAAUGAUAACAACGAAAAAAAGUAUGAUAGAAGAGAGUUGAUAUGCGACGGUUGCAUUCAACCCAUAACUAUUUUCCAUCCAUCUUACUAUGCUUGUAUGAAAUGUGGUUUCUUUCUUCAUUCCUUUUGUGCCACUAAGUUGCCAAGAGUAUUGGUAGCAAAUGGAUUCUUCUACCAUUGCAAGACCUGUAAUAUUACAAUUGAUAUACGUUGUGCAUUCUUACCCACCAAGAUAAAGCAUAAAUCACACAACCACCACUCCCUUGUUUAUCGUCCAUCCUUCAAAUUUGAAUGCAGUGUGAGUGGUUAUACUAUUGGAGGUGGUGUGCAAUAUGGAUGUGGAACUUGUGGUAACUUUCAAAUUGAUAUAGAUAGUGCAUUUUAUCCUGGUAGCAUGAAACACAGAUACGAUGAUCACCCUGUAACCUUGAGACGACCUCCAUUCUUCUACGAGGGAGUAUUCUAUUGUGAAAUAUGUGAAGACCAAGUUAAUAAUCAAUGGUGGCUCUAUCACUGUGAUGAAUGUGAUCAUUCUUUUCACAAUGAUUGCCUUCUUUCGGGUGGAAGUGUCAAGUUAGGAAGGACUGUCGAAGUUGAUAUUAACGACCAAUCACACACACUUGCAUUGGUCUUGAAGAGGCGUACAAGAAAGACCCAAUCGGAGUACUUCUGUAGAUAUUGCGGGAAUGGCUACAAGUCGAAUCACUUUUUGGAAUGUGAUGGGUGUGGAUAUCUUAUAUGCUGUCCCUGUGUUAGUCAAAUCAAGGCCAGUAACAAGUCCAUACACUUUUGAUGAUGGAGUGAGGUGCCAGGCGAUUUGGGAUGAGCAAAAACACUUCAAGAAUUUCAUUUCUUAUGUUCUUGUUUUGAAAGUUGUUUUCUAUGUAUUAAAAUAAUUUACUUUUAUUAGAUUUUUUUUUUGACGGAAUUUGGAUUUUGUUUGUUUAAUGUAAGAUGUAAUUUUGCGGCUAAAGUCUUAAUCAGAUUAGUGAAGUUAUUGAUGGUAGUAAGAUCAGGAAAUUAGGAAUGCAGCUCUUUUAGCACUGCUCAUGAGAGUUUUUGUUUUUGGAACAUAUGGUAAAAUCAUCUUCUUAUUUCUCUUGUGUUUGGUGCAUAUGAGAUGUGCUACAUCACAUACAGCACCUGCUAUGCAAGUACCCUGAAUUUACUUUAGUUUUGUUUGCCGUUUUAAUCAUCUAUUUUUCUAUUUUUUUCAUGAGCUAAUGUCUGAGUACUGCAAUCGCUUAACUAAUUUCAGUUUGUUAUAUAAGAAAUGAGAUUGAGGAAGAGGCCACUCUUAACGAACCUGAUCUCGUAGAGUUUCCACUGCAUAGUGAAGAAUAAUGAUUUGAUCUCUUAGGCUGUGUGAAUGAGGGGAGAAUGAAAUGAAAUUUGUAUUAUAAAUUGUGACUGAUUAGUGAAAUUGUUUAUAAUUUUCAUUCCUUCAAUCAUUCUAUUCUAACUAUUUUAACUAAAAAUCUAACCCACAUGUUUUGAAAGGAAUGUGAGUAAUUGACACUUUGCAUCCCACAAGUUUAAGUGCUUUUUCGAUUUGGUCUCAAACAACAUUUUUUGUCAAUAUGCACCCCAAUGUUUAAAAGGCGAUUCAAUAUGCACCAUUUUGACCUUUUUCUGUCAAAUUGACUGUUAAAAUUAACGGCUGCAGGGGUAAAUAGUAAUUCUGUAUACUUCCUUCUACUAUAUUUUCCAUAAAAAAAUUAUUAUUUUACCCUUACAGCCGUUAAUUUUAACAAUCAACUUCACAGAAAAUGGUCAAAAGGGUGCAUAUUGAAACGCUUUUUAAACACUAGGGUGCAUAUUGACAAGAAAUUUUGUUUGGGACCAAACUGAAAAAGCGCUUAAACUUAUGGGGUGCAAAAUGUCAAUUACUCAAGGAAUGUUCAUUCCAUUUGUUCAUCAUGUUUUCCUAUCAGCUUCUUCAUAAAAAGUUUUAACUUACUCAUAUUUAAUCAUUAUCCCCUCAUUUUUUCUUCGUUCUCCAUAAAACUUGUCCAUAUAUUUUCAUCCCAUUCCAUCCAAGUGAACGCAACCUUUAUAUUCCAGUAUUGCAAGCUCCAAGUCCAAUGUCAAGGUAAAGAUGAAAACAGGUCCUGAUCCUCCCAUAAUUAAAGAACACUGGAGUCAGGAGGAGCAUCUAUUAGUACAGUCAGAGUUUGCUACUAGUAAAAAUAACAUUAACACCGACAAUGAUAAGGAUAGAAGAGUGUUGAUUUGCACUCAACUAAUUACUGUUUUUCAUCUGUCUUACUACGCUUGUACGAAAUGUGGUUACCAGUGUUGGUAGCAGGAGUAUCUCCCCUUAAUCCCCAGCAUUCACUUGUUCUUUGCCAAUAGGACAGGAUCUUUCAUUUUGCCAAGUGUGAAGUUUGUCGCUACCAAACAAAUGGAUUCUGCUACCUCUGUAAGACCUGUUAUAUUAGGAUUGAUAUGCGUUGUGCAUUCUUACUCUUGGG